rnacentral:rRNA from 1 species
GUGACAGCCGCCGCGGUAAUACAGAGAGUGCGAACGUUGUUCGGAAUUACUGGGCUUAAAGAGCACGUAGGCGGCAUCGUAAGUGUCAGGUGAAAUCCCACGGCUCACCCGUGGAACUGCCUGGCAGACUGCGAUGCUCGAGUGUGGUAGGGGAGAACGGAACUCCUGGUGGAGCGGUGAAAUGCGUAGAUAUCGGGAGGAACACCGGUGGCGAAGGCGGUUCUCUGGUCCACAACUGACGCUGAGGUGCGAAAGCCAGGGGAGCAAACGGGAUUAGAUACCCUUGUAGUCC